GGGGAAUUCGUCUAGUGGUAAGACGCGGACUUCGCAACCGCUGGCAACAAAGCAGAUGAUCGAUUGUCUGAAACCGGUGUUCGAUUCACCGAUUCUCCA
rnacentral:tRNA from 1 species